rnacentral:sRNA from 1 species
GCAGGACACCAUCAAUGAGUUCGGCGGCACACCAGAAGAGAACCGCAUCACCAUUGCCAACGUGGACUUGGUCCUGAGCAAGGGCAAUGUAGACGUGGCGCUGAACAUGCUAAGGAACAUCUCACCCAAGCAGUCCUGCUAUAUGGAAGCCAGAGAGAAGAUGGCCAACAUCUACCUGCAAACCCUCAGAGACAGGCGCCUCUACAUCAGAUGCUACCGUGAGCUCUGUGAACAUCUGUGUGGCCCCCACACCAGCCUGCUACUGGGCGAUGCUUUAAUGAGCAUUCUGGAGCCCGAGAAGGCCCUGGAGGUCUAUGAUGAGGCCUAUAGACAGAACCCGCAUGACGCCUCCCUGGCCAGCAGAAUUGGGCAAGCUUAUGUGAAGGCCCACCAGUAUACUGAGGUCAGGCUGGGCUGGGGUGUGAAGGGGCAGGGAGGGCCAGCCCAGCAGGGAGGGUGGAGGACAGUACAUG